GACUUGUUUGACGAAGAUGUGCGU
rnacentral:siRNA from 1 species